AGAGUUUGAUCCUGGCUCAGGACGAACGCUGGCGGCGUGCCUAAUACAUGCAAGUCGAACGAGAGCGACCGGUGCUUGCACUGGUCAAUCUAGUGGCGAACGGGUGAGUAACACGUGGGUAACCUGCCCAUCAGAGGGGGAUAACAUUCGGAAACGGAUGCUAAAACCGCAUAGGUCUUCGAACCGCAUGGUUUGAAGAGGAAAAGAGGCGCAAGCUUCUGCUGAUGGAUGGACCCGCGGUGCAUUAGCUAGUUGGUGAGGUAACGGCUCACCAAGGCCGUGAUGCAUAGCCGACCUGAGAGGGUGAUCGGCCACAUUGGGACUGAGACACGGCCCAAACUCCUACGGGAGGCAGCAGUAGGGAAUCUUCCGCAAUGGACGCAAGUCUGACGGAGCAACGCCGCGUGAGUGAAGAAGGUUUUCGGAUCGUAAAACUCUGUUGUUAGAGAAGAACAAGUGCUAGAGUAACUGUUAGCACCUUGACGGUAUCUAACCAGAAAGCCACGGCUAACUACGUGCCAGCAGCCGCGGUAAUACGUAGGUGGCAAGCGUUGUCCGGAUUUAUUGGGCGUAAAGCGAGCGCAGGCGGUUCCUUAAGUCUGAUGUGAAAGCCCCCGGCUCAACCGGGGAGGGUCAUUGGAAACUGGGGAACUUGAGUGCAGAAGAGGAGAGUGGAAUUCCAUGUGUAGCGGUGAAAUGCGUAGAUAUAUGGAGGAACACCAGUGGCGAAGGCGACUCUCUGGUCUGUAACUGACGCUGAGGCUCGAAAGCGUGGGUAGCAAACAGGAUUAGAUACCCUGGUAGUCCACGCCGUAAACGAUGAGUGCUAAGU
rnacentral:rRNA from 1 species